rnacentral:rRNA from 1 species
GACGAACGCUGGCGGCGUGCCUAAUACAUGCCAGUAGAACGCUGAAGGAGGAGCUUGCUCUUCUGGAUGAAUUGCGAACGGGUGAGUAACGCGUAGGUAACCUGCCUGGUAGCGGGGGAUAACUAUUGGAAACGAUAGCUAAUACCGCAUAACAGUAGAUGUUGCAUGACAUUUACUUAAAAGGUGUAAUUGCAUCACUACCAGAUGGACCUGCGUUGUAUUAGCUAGUUGGUGGGGUAACGGCUCACCAAGGCGACGAUACAUAGCCGACCUAAGAGGGAGAUCGGCCAAGCUGGAACUGGGACACGGCCGAGACUACUACGGGAGACAGCAGUAGGGAAUCUUCGGCAAUGGACGGAAGUCUGACCGAGCAACGCCGCGUGAGUGAAGAAGGUUUUCAGAUCGUAAAGCUCUGUUGUAAGAGAAGAACGAGUGUGAGAGUGGAAAGUUCACACUGUGACGGUAUCUUACCAGAAAGGUACGGCUAACUACGUG